GACGAACGCUGGCGGCGCGCCUAACACAUGCAAGUCGAACGGAGCGUACUGUGUGAAGCCCUUCGGGGCGGAACUUUGUAUUGCUUAGUGGCGAACGGGUGAGUAACACGUGAGCAACCUGCCCUAGAGUGGGGGACAACAUUUGGAAACGAAUGCUAAUACCGCAUAAGACCACGGUGUCACAUGACACAGCGGCCAAAGGAUUUAUUCGCUUUAGGAUGGGCUCGCGUCUGAUUAGCUAGAUGGUGGGGUAACGGCUCACCAUGGCGACGAUCAGUAGCCGGACUGAGAGGUCGAUCGGCCACAUUGGGACUGAGAUACGGCCCAGACUCCUACGGGAGGCAGCAGUGAGGAAUAUUGGUCAAUGGACGCAAGUCUGAACCAGCCAUGCCGCGUGCAGGAUGACGGC
rnacentral:rRNA from 1 species